AGUGGGAGGCCAGGAGAUAUAGGUUCCAAUAGCGCCGGCCUCCAAACCCAUGAAGGACUUUCUACUGGCUGGAUCAUUUGAAGGUUUUUCAAGAACACACAGAAGGGUAUCAAGAAAAAACUCCUUGAUCGACCACGCUCCCUGAGCCCCUCGCGGAGGCAGUUAGGAGAGUUUGGACGAACGGCACGAGUAGUGUUCCUUUACUUCUUGGAAGAUUCGCUGCGAACAUGUUGACUUCUACUGGGCGUGGUGGUUCGAGCCUGCGAUCCCAGCAAGAGGGAGGCUGAGGCAGAAGUUCAAGGCCAGCCUGGACUACGUGGCGAGACACUGCGUCGAACAACAGCAACAACAAAACUGUUUACCUCUGUGCCCUGCAGAGGGACAGGGCCAGCUCCCCCCCACCCCGGACCUUCCCUUUGGGCCGGCGGGGAGGGGCGGGGCCGGGGGCGU